ACAGUUUCUUACUGUAUAAGUUGUUUACAGUUUGUUACUAUAGAUUUGUUGUUUCCACAGUAUUUUAAUGUAUUUUCAACAGUUUUUUACUGCAUAAGCUUUGUACAGUAGGCUACUGUAGUUUUCCAAGGCAUUAUGGGAAAUAUUACUCUGAAUACAGUAUUACCAACCAACUGCAAAACACAAUGACAAACGUCUAUUUAUAUCUUAAAUGCUUAAUUUUUUUGUGAGAUAUUUGGUUUAAUGUCUGUUUUCACAUCAGAUGCUCGGUGUGUUCCUUUAACAUAUCACGUGCCUUUUCUGAGGCUUUAAUGAAAUCACCAGCCAAUUCAAUAGACAUACCAUCAGUUCUUAAUAUUGUUGCCUCUGGGUCACAAAAUGUAUUUUUAAGAUUAGUUUAGGCGAUAAUAUAUAUGUAUAAUCUUCAAAUAACAGUCGAUUAGUUAAAAAAGCGCUAAUUUUAGAAUUUGAUUAAACAAAUGCGGAGGGUUCAGGCGCGAGUCGGUCACGUGAUGUGCUCCUCAGUUCUGUCAGUAGGGGGAGUGGGAGAACGCGUGUGUGUCUUCGUAUCUGUUCUGCUCAUCUAGCGCGUAUUUCUUUAUUAAUAUCUGCUGGGUGAAUAUUAAUACGUAUAUGCUAACAUUAAUUUUGUGACCACAAAAUGACAGCGAGCUAUUAUACGAGAUAUUGUGUCGUCGUGUUUGUCUUCACUCACUUCAUCAUUAUCUGCAAACAACUUCUGCAACUACACAAUGAUUGUCUGCCUGUGUGCAAAAUAAAGCACGUUCACUGUGUAAAACCCCGCGCAGGACAUUUUCAAAUUAACGGUCAGGGCGAGUCUGAGCUUAUCGUGUUGUGUUGACAGAGACUUUGCUGAGUGUAUGUAAAUCUGGGCUACAGUCCACGACAAAUUUUCUACGGUAGUUUUACGCCUGCAUGCUGGUCCUUUCGUCUAUCGCGGGGAUAUCAUCACUUCAGCGGACAUCGCACUGAAGAGAUCCUUCCUGUGCUUGCGUGGCGGUGUGUUUGUGUGCUCACUUGGAUUGAGACCAGCAGUGCUUUUUUAAACAGUGGAUUCUUUAUGACAUCAAGAUGUGGUUUGGGAAGGACCUUCAUCUAAAUCUGAAGACAGGACAUACUGGCUCAAAAAGGUGUUUCUGAUAUGGAGAAAAACCCUGCACUGCUCAUUUUAUUUCUUCAUCUUGAGAAUACAGCAAGUUUACCUUUUGUCUGGAAAAUGAUUCAGCAAAGCUAACACCAACAACAAUUUUUCAUGGCACUUUAAACCACCUUGAUGUGAGGAGCCAGCAUCAGAAUGGAUGGUGUCAAUAUCCUGAAAGUGGAGGUAACAGAGGUGGAUCUCGAGACUUGGCCAUGUUCUAGAUUAUAACUGGAUUAUCACAAGUGCUGUCGCCCCUGCUGUAUAUGACGCCCCCACCACCUACACCAGGUGUAGGAAAUGUCGGUCCUGGUGUGCCGUUGUCCUGCAGAGUUUUGCUCCAGCUCUAAACAAACACACCUGAACAACUAGAUCUGAAGAGUCACCAGAAAACUACAGGUAGGCGAGGUUUUAUCAGGGUUGGAAAUGAAAUCUGCAGGAUUUCGACACUCCAGGACCGACGUUGCCUACUACUGACCUACACCUUCAUCCUGCCACCACCACCCAUACUACCUACAAAAAACUGUAUUGUAAUUAUGCUUUUCACUGUAUUGUAUGAUGUGGUUUUCUCAUUUAGGGUAACUACACUAUGGCAACAAUUGGAUACAUUGAUUGCUGACUGAUUUUGUUAUUUUUUCUUUACUUUUUGUUUAAAAUCUAAUCAUUUUUUUUGUUAUUUUUGUUAAUAUUGUUACAAAUAUACAGUUAAAACUGCACAAUAAAUUUUCUGCUUUUAAA